rnacentral:ncRNA from 2 species
AGAGGUGUAGGAUAAGUG